CCUCGGGGUACGGAACAACGCAGGGAAACUUGCGCUAAUACCGUAUACGUCCGUGAGGAGAAAGAUUUAUCGCCCUGAGACGGGCCCGCGUCGGAUUAGCUAGUUGGUGGGGUAACGGCCUACCAAGGCGACGAUCCGUAGCUUAUCUUAGAGGAUGAUCAGCCACACUGGGACUGAGACACGGCCCAGACUCCUACGGGAGGCAGCAGUGGGGAAUCUUGGACAAUGGGCGCAAGCCUGAUCCAGCCAUGCCGCGUGAGUGAAGAAGGUCUUCGGAUUGUAAAGCUCUUUUGCCAGGGACGAUAAUGACGGUACCUGG
rnacentral:rRNA from 1 species